ensembl:lncRNA
CUAUUAACUCCACUGGCCUCGCUCCGUUCCCACGGCUCUCGGCCCCGCCCCUCUCGGCACAAAGGUUAAUCCAGACAAUUGCUGAAAAUUGGUGAUUUUGAGGUGAAAUUAGGCACGCAGCACUCUGGGAUUUGACAUAAACAUAGUGAGUUAAGCAAUGAUUUAUUCAAACUUUGAUUGGUGGUAUUGACUAGAAAACAUAUUCUGGCAAAUUCAGAAUGGUACUUUCAGCAUUACCAGGGCUGCAGACACUCGUGUUGUACGUGACAAAACUCUCCUCAUACUCUCUUCUGUGUUUGUGUUAAAUCAGGUUACAAGCUGUUCGCUUUCUUUUUCCAUGGCCCGUCUGUCUGGAUAAUCUUGUUACGUUUCGUUUUUCCAGAGGGACAAAUUCUGCUUGCUCGAACGAGCUGUGGCCCAGUCUGGAGGUCAAGGCUAUAGUGGAGAGGAGGGGGGCUGCUCUGUCAGAGAUAAGAGA